UAUUGGAAUCAUUGUCAACCGAUUGUUUUCAAACGAGAUAUUUGCGGUGAAUUUUGUGUUUGAUUUUGUUUAGUUUUGAUAAUAACAAAACAUUCACAAGCUGAAACUGCAAAUAUUUCGAUUCAACUUUGGACCGUGUUGGUGUGGUUUGCAUUUAUAUGUUGCAUUCAAAAGAGUUAAUAUCACUCAAUUUGUCGAUUUUGAAUCACUUCACGCUUAACAUUCAAUCAGUUCAACAUGUCAACGACUGGUGAAACUACGGCUGCUACAGCGCCAAGAAAAAAGCGAUACAAAUUUCAAACGAAUGCGCAAAAAGAAAAGGAUGCUGAUGAUGAUGUAAACGAUAAUGGAUUGUUCGCGAUUAAAAUGCGCCUCAACACAAUUUUACGACCAGAGUUCAAUCACAUUGUCAAACCGUGGAUCGAACAGAAAAGCAUAAUGUCAACGAAAAUCACCGUUUUGGCAUCAUUACUUUUCUUGGAUAAAGUGAAAUCGGCACAAAUGAAUCGACAGUGGGAGUUUUUUAAAAACCGAACGUAUCCGGCCAAAAAAGGAAAGAAGAAAGGACAGCUCGUUGAAAAGAAUCGUGGCGAAGAAGUGAUUGAGCAAUGUUUCUAUGCCGUCUUGCAAAAAAACAAAGAAGGUGAGAAUAUGGAGCCACAUUUCCGUCAGUUUGUCGAAGAGCUCAGUCCAGAAAAUAAUUUCACCUGGCCCAAGAACGAUUAUUUUGGUAAUCAUUUUAAAACGCUGUGCCAAAAUCACACGCGAUGCUUGAAAACCGGUCAAACGACACACUGCAAGAAGAAGUUGAAAAAUUAUCUGCGAAUGCGAGCGUGGCAAUUCAACGCAGUGUCUACCGGUUGGAAAUUCGACAAGAAGGACAUUGACAAUGCAGUCGAUUUGAUGAUUCGAGGCUACAAUGCGAUCCGUGACACUCAUCAAAAUGCAGAUUUCAAACGACACAAGCGAACAUUACUUACUGGCAUGGUUACUGCAAUUGUGCGAGAAGUUGGUGGCCCAACCAAUGAUCACAACAUCAAGGAUUUAUCAAAAGGCGAUUAUUGGUUCAAAGCAACUGCAAUGUGGCUCGUUAUGCAGACAGAAAUCGAUGAGUGGCACAAUUGGGCGCAAGAUAACAAUGUGAAGAUACCAAAUAUCAAAAAUCUCUCGGUUGUUCCAUUGCCUGAUUAUCAACGAAAGGCAGUGUUCAUGUGCAAUGAUGUCUUCUAUCGAAUGCUGGCCGAAUCGAAACAACUUCCACAAGUUGAUGGUAGACAAGCAACCGAAAGUUACAUUCGCCAGAACAAAGAAUUCUAUUGGAAUCAAGUAUUCGAUUUAACGACCAUCAAUCGAAAACUGAAGAAAAACAAAGAAUUCCAUUAUACCAUCGUCAGCAACGGUGAAUCUGUGUCGAUUAUGUAUCGCAUGUCAAAGCAAUACGAGCAACAGAUGCAGAAUGAUGAUAUUCUUCGAAAGCAAUUCAUCGGCGGAAAAUUUGCUUACGAACUGGGAAUCGAUCCAGGCAUGAAAACAUGGAAUGCCACAGUUCGUCGAAAUAUCAAAACAAAGAAAGAAGUCAACAUGAAAACGUCCAGUAAGAAGUACCAUUGGCUGGCAAAGCAGAAGACGCGCGAUGUAAAGGCAAAACGAUGGACGAAGCAGUUCACCCAAGAGGAGCAGGACGAUCGAAAUAAUCGACAAUUGUAUCAGCGAAUGCCAUCACCACUGGGCAUACUCUGGAUUGAUUACGUUCAUCAUCGUAUCAAAAUGCUCAAGAAAGGAAUGGCCGUAUAUACAACACCGAAAUACACGCUGUUGCAGUUUGACAAGUACGUCGAAUCGAAUCGAACCGUUGAUAAACUCACUGGGAAUUUGGUCAAUCAUAAAGCCGCAAUUAUUCACAUGGGAAAUGCAGAAAUAUCACCAAACUCGUGCAUUCGAAUCAAAAAGCAUGUGAGAGCUCCAGGUACGCGCAAACUACUCAAAGGCUUUCGAAAACGUCGCAAUUGUCGUGUGCGCAAAACAGAUGAGUGGGGUACAUCGCAGCAUUGUGCAAAGUGUGGGCGACGAUUUAAUCCAGCCACAAAGAGCCAUCGAUUCAAAGUGUGUGAAAAUUGUGGAGCGGAGCCCGAUUCAAUUUUCGCCGAAUAUUUACCAUCAAAAAUCGUAGCACAGCGCAGCAAACGGCAAUUGAGGUACAACAAAGAUGUCGUUGAACUUUAUUUGAUGCGAUUUUGGGCAGAAGGACUCAUGACUGAGCAAGAAUUCGAUAUUGCUGCUGAACGUUUACUGUCUAAGGUGGCCGUGUAUCCAAAAAAUUGGCAAGUAAACACAGUGAGUGGUAAAUUGGAAUAUGCUCAAGUCAAUGCUGAUGCACCGUAUGCAACUGUUCAACAGCCAUAUGCAGUCGAUGAUGAAAAUGAAUUGGAAAUCGAAGACAAGCAACUACUAAUGGCUGUACACAAGACAUCUUGGGAUCGUGAUAUCGUCGCCGCCAAAUGCAUUCUCAUCAAAGGACAUUGUGAGCUGUUUGGAUGGGAUAUUCCGGCAGGAUUAGACAGACGAUCACCGCGACAGCCAGCAGUUCAACCGAAUCAGCAGCCUUAAGCAUCACCAAUCACCAUUCGUACUCGAAAAUUAAUCAAAAAUUAAUAUUGUAAUUUGUUACAUUAACUGAGACUGACUGUUGUGUCUCAGCAUUUCGAGGAAGUACUUCUAGGUGUUUUUUUCUAUAUGGGAAACACCCUAAUGUACAAUAACAUUCGAUAACGAUAUUUAUUGCAUCAAGCACCACCUGCAGCGCUCAUUUAAUUGAAAAGUGUUAAAAAUGGCUUGCCAUUUAACAUUAUCUUUGGUGGCCGCACACAUUCUGUCGUACCGCGCUCUUUUGAAAUUAAAGUAGAGAAAAUGCGCUGAGAAGCAAAAGCCAAUAAUAAAAAAAUCGUAUCGUACUGCGUGGUAAUUCCAUUUUUCCAGUAUCAGAUCGUGUUUUUUUUCUCAUUUCCGAUUGAUCUAUGUGCCAAAAUUUGCUGAUCAUCAUAAUAGCAUUUGCAUGAAUUAAGUUUUAACAUAUCUUUUUGAACUGUGAUAAUAUCACUUGUCUCCAUUUAAUACCUCGUACACAUGUGAAGGAGAUCUUUUUUAGUUUUUUUAUUCUGCAAUGUAAAUCAGUGGUAUUUGGCCCACAAGACUCGCGCUAAAGUUCACAUCCUUUUAUAGUUUAUACAGUGGGUAAAAUAGUUUUGAUAAAAAAUGGUUUUAUUUUUUAGAAAAAUAUGUGCUUUUUAUAAUUUUGAAGGAGUUUUCAACAUUUAGCCAAUUUUAAUGAGUUUCAUACGGGUCCAUCGGUUGGUAUAUUUUUUACCAAAAUCUGGCAAUUUUUCAAUUAUUUCUGGAGAUCAUGAGCUCAAUAUUGGCUUCCAAGGGCUUAAAUGGUUUUUGGGUUAUCAAUGACUUCACAAACCACCUGAAAAAAUAAUCCAGAGUGGUCAGAAACAGUUAAAGAGUUCUUCACACCAGGCAAUUCGGUCAUAAAAUGUAGUUAUCAAUAAAUCGAUCGUUUCUAUCAUUAUUUAGAAAGUUGCGUUAUCCUGUUGAAACUAAAAUGGUUCGAAAGACAGCUUUUAGAAGUAAUCACUUAUUUACAUUAUAAGAGCUUACCUAGAUAUAAAUGUUUUACCAGACAAUAUAUUUAGAUUUCGUCAUCUGGAUAUUUCAGCUCAUCUGGAUAACGUUAGGCGAUGAUACGAAAUGAAAACAAUAGAAGUGAUUGUUGUAUUAUAUAGGUAUAAAAAUACUACCUGUCUACAUUGUCUGUGUUUUACCAUUGAAAAUGCAGAAAUUUGAUUUUUUUUUCAAAACCAAAUUAACCAAUGGAUCUGUAUAAAUGAUCAUAUGAUCAAAAUUCUUUCUUAAUCAUAAAUGGUAUACAUUUUGUACCUUUAUUUUUACUAUUAAAACAAAAAAGAAUCAAUUUUUUUUAAAAACAAAAUUUAAAAAACAAAUCCCCAAAAAUACCCUGCAUUAUAAAAUAUAAAAUAUUAUGUCUUGAACUGUGAUCGCCGUGUCCUCAAAAAUUUAACUUCAAAUACCAAAAAUAGGCAAUCAACGCUAAGAAUAUCGAAUUCGAUUGCUGAAAUGGUUGGAAAAUUUGUUUCAAACAAAAAUGUAACAUUUUUUAGAAAGAUUUUAAUCUUGUUCUGAAUGAAAAAGAAGAGAAUAAAUCGUUGCAAUAACAAGUUUUGGUAACAUUCACUUCAUUCAUAUACUACCUAUAUCCCAUUGAUACGCAUUUUUCUUACAUAUCACCUCAAUGUGAAGUUUGGAAAUGUUACUAAUACUGUGUCUUUAAUUGCAGGUAUUUAUGUGCAUUUGGUCGUGGUAAAUGUUCGCAUUUCAAACAAUGACAAAAUUACUUUUCAAAAUCACUUAUCGAAAACUGUUGCGCGUUAUGUAAUUCAUGGCUUAAUGGCAUGGCCAGCAACAAACUAUCAACGCAAUUUGAUCACAUAUGCGCGCUGGGGGGGGUUCCGGUUUGACCCCCCUCUGAGAAAUUUUUUCUCAGAUUUGCAAUAUAAAUGUAUGAACAAUAGCAAAAAUACACUGAUUUUGAAGUCAAACUUGCAACACACAUUUUUACUUGUUUCUCUCAUGCAAAAUUGUUAUUUUAGUUUUCCAUAUAAAUACCCCCUCGCCCCUCGAGACCAAAGUCAAUUUGACCCC